GACGAACGCUGGCGGCGUGCUUAACACAUGCAAGUCGAACGGAAAGGCGCUGCUUUUGUGGGGUGCUCGAGUGGCGAACGGGUGAGUAACACGUGAGUAACCUGCCCUUGACUGUGGGAUAACUUCAGGAAACUGGGGCUAAUACCGGAUAGGAGCUCCUGCUGCAUGGUGGGGGUUGGAAAGUUUCGGCGGUUGGGGAUGGACUCGCGGCUUAUCAGCUUGUUGGUGGGGUAGUGGCUUACCAAGGCUUUGACGGGUAGCCGGCCUGAGAGGGUGACCGGCCACAUUGGGACUGAGAUACGGCCCAGACUCCUACGGGAGGCAGCAGUGGGGAAUAUUGCACAAUGGGCGGAAGCCUGAUGCAGCAACGCCGCGUGCGGGAUGACGGCCUUCGGGUUGUAAACCGCUUUCGCCUGUGACGAAGCGUGAGUGACGGUAAUGGGUAAAGAAGCACCGGCUAACUACGUG
rnacentral:rRNA from 1 species